UUCUGAGGCUUAGUAUGAAGACAGGAUUCCCUGGGGUUGGAGAGGCCUUGGGGACCAAGAGCAUGUUCCGCUCCUGCACAGGACUGGAGCCUGUUUCUCGGAACCCCUAUCAGGGGACCAGUAAUUCUAGAAUGUUCUUCAUCAUGCGAUGUUCUGAACUUCUUCAGAGUGGAACAAAAAGCAGGGAUUUGAUGGAUUAAAAAUGAAAAUUGGA